rnacentral:tRNA from 1 species
GGAGGAGUGGCUGAGUGGUCGAAAGCGGCGGUCUUGAAAACCGUUGUGCCGAAAGGCACCGUGGGUUCGAAUCCUACCUCCUCCGCCA